UGAUAACAGUUAGGUAAGUAGCUGACAGCAUGAUGGAUAUUAGAAAUUGGCCAGGGCACACCGGCAGCAUCAGAUCAAAGUGGCGGGGAGGGAGAGAAAUCUGCUCCAGAGGCCAAGGCCAAUUGUGUGGAAAAACUGCUACGCGAGUUUGAGUUAUGGGAGAAAUACAAGCACACGGACACCCCCACUCCAAGCACACGGCAAAGAGUAGUGAGUAGUAAUCUGAAAGAAUAUGUGGUUGAAACAACAAUGGGCCAGCAAGAAGAGGAUAAUGACAGGGAGUGCAAAAGACUGUUUUUCAGCAUUCUGGAUGCUGUACCGGGAGAAAUGUCAGCAAGAUUUAACGAAUGAAAGAGCCUACUUGUUGAGGCCCUGUGUGCCUUACACCCAGAGAAUGAAACCUUUAUGGAUGUGGAAAAGGUGAAACCACUGCUGGACUUGGUGGAAGCUGAGUUUACUGUCAGAUGCCAGUUUCUACAGACUGAAAUCGCCCGAUCUGGAAAAGAAAAAUGGACAACACAGAGUAUUUUGGAUACAAACUCCGGGCCUCUAACAGCAACGCCUACUGUGAUGAUGGCAUUGAAACUGGGAUUAACAUUUGGAGUAUCCACGGCAACUUGCGAGAACUCUUUUUCAACAUUGAAAAACGUAUUCCGUGAGCACAGACAGAGCAUGUUGCACAGGAGGAAAGCGUAGAUCAUUCAACUGGCAUUUGAGAGGGAUCCUACAAGCAAAUUCCGUGGGUGGAGCGAGAGACUGCUGAGGAGGUUCAACACAGCAUCAAGGCGGCAGAAACUCUUUUGAAUCUGGGCUGGGAUCCGCACUAUGCAGCUGUUGCAAGAGCGCAGUUUUCACUACUUUAAGGUCUCAGAGCGAGUGACGUCACCGAUUUGAAACGCUAUUAGCGCGCACCACCGACUCUUCAGGAGGGCCACUAUGCUCCAAUUCUGACCCAUCACACGACUCUUCAGGAGGGCCACUAUGCUCCAGUUCUGACCCAUCACACGACUCUUCAGGAGGGCCACUAUGCUCCAGAUCUGACCCAUCACACGACUCUUCAGGAGGGCCACUAUGCUCCAGAUCUGACCCAUCACACGACUCUUCAGGAGGGUCACUACGCCCCAGAUCGACUUCUGUGCUCAGGGUAGGUCCUUGAUGAGGACCUACCCAAUCACACCACUCUUAUAAUAAAACACAAUGGGUCUUUAUAUACUCUUUGUCCCUGUCUGUGGGUGAAUUAUGAAACAAUUAAUGUAUACAGGUGUACAAAAAAUGGUGACGUCGAUUUGUUUCUGCUAUUGCUUGAUCUAUUUUAAAAUGUAAGAAUAUGUUGCAGAUCUAAAGUUCCAUUGUUGACUAUGGAAACACAGAAAUGUAAUGAACACCGUUUUCAAUUUCCAACUUUAUUCUCUGCAAUAUUUUUUUUACAGUAGGUAAUAAGCUGUAGUCAUGUGGUCAUUACCAGGUUAUGACGGUAUUAACUAUGACCAGUAGGCUACAUAAUAUAAUGGUCACAAUUAUGACCAACUGGUCGUAUUGUCGUCAAGACAAAUACGUAAAAACAACAUCCUUUUCCAACCAGAAUGAGCAGUCAUAAAAAUAUGUCAUACUGACGUCUUUUCAACCAGGUUUUGCCCACUGGGCAGGUGUUCAAAAACGCAUAUCAGACCGAGACCCUAAUGUUUAAUUCUUAAGUAGUUCUUUGUGAGUUUUAGUUUUUAUAAAACGAUCUCCCCGCAAAAGCGUCAGUUAAAAACAGUUUGAUUGCCAUAGCAACAGCAGGGAGUGGUGAUUUAAAUACAACAGUUCUGCAACAUCUUUAAUUGAGCCUCUCAUUCUCCUUAAUUACCGGCUUCAAAACGUUCCGGAAAGAGUAACUGUACAGGAAGCUGUGUAGGAUACUGGACAACAGUUCUGGGGGGGGCUCAAACUAAAAAAGUGGUUUGUGAUUUUAUUCAUACUGGUGAUCCUGUGUUUGAGUUGUGUGGUAGCAAUAUCAACAGUCUUAUCUCUGGUAUAUCUUGGCAUACAUCAUUCAAGACGAAGUUUAAAUUGUGUGCAGCGUAAUGGACAUAUAAUGUACAAUGUCUCAGAAGCUCGGGGGAGUCUCAAGUUGGCCUUAAUUUACCUUGAUUGCAGCCCAUUUCUGUCAGCUAUUAGCCAGACAAAACCUGCUGAGUUCAACACUAAAUUGUGACAAAAUGUAUCCCAAGCCAAGGAUUUGUCCUCAUUGUUAGGCUUUUUGAUGUGUAAUUUGUAUAAAUACUGUAUAUAGGUAUAGAUAGUAGGCUACACUGCAUAAUGAAACAACGUAAGCUAGUGUUUUGAAGGUGUGCUGACUAUUAUUUGUCAUUAAUAGAGUGGUUUUACUCACAACUUCCUAUCCAAGCUGGGAGAGAGCAUGAGGACGGCUCAUGUCAUGCAGGCUCAGAUAGGCUAUACAGGACAAUUGUAUUAUUAUUAUUUAUUUUUUUAAUCAAUUGGUUGCCGAUUAGUAUUCUGUUGUACCGAAAAUGUAUUUGACCAAUCUGCAAUGUUUGAAAUUCGAACUUUAAUUACAGAACAAGUCAUUACAUUAUUGCCGCCAGCCAGCAGUCUAAAUCAUGGCAGACUUGUAACACCCUGUAUAGCUUAGUGAAAUGUUAAGCUUAACAUGAGAAAAUGACAACCAAAUAUGAAAAAAUGACAACCAAAUAGGCCUAAUAAACAUAUAUUAGCUGAAGCUAUAGGCUACAUGCUCGGGCACAACAGAAACCCUAUCAUCAAUUCCAUCAGCCUGGUCUCAGAGAAUUUCAUAUUAUUCUGUACGUAAAUCUAAGGACACUCUGUUUCGUAUGGUUACAUAAGACAGAUGGUUACUUGGCGUAUAACGCGAAUGUCUACCAACACAAAGGUUGCGAGCUCAAAUCUCAUCGAGGAGAUCUUUAGCAUUUUAGCAACUUUAACUACUUGCUACUUUGCAACUGCUUAGCAACUACUUAGGAUGUUAGCUAACCCUUCUCCCAACCCUUUAAACUAACUCUUAAACUUAACCCUAGCCUAGCUAAUGUUAGACACCUAGCUAGACUUCUUAACUCGUUUUGCAAAUUUUUUACAUUGUACGUCUGCAAAUUCGUAACAUAUCAUACUAAAUGGAGGGUCUCAGAUUUACAUACAGAACAAUACGAAAUGCUCAGAGACCAGGUUGAUUCGAUCGGCCCGCUGCAUAGACACGUCGCAAUUUCAGCACCACGGACAGCAAUCUGUAGUCUAUACUUUGUGAAUGGAUUUUUAUUUUAGGGAGGAGGGGGACGAACUCCGACCUUACAGGGGUCCAGAGAAACUGCCUUGUGCCAGCGCUG